AGUGAACGCUGGCGGUAGGCCUAACACAUGCAAGUCGAACGGCAGCACAGUAAGAGCUUGCUCUUACGGGUGGCGAGUGGCGGACGGGUGAGGAAUACAUCGGAAUCUACUUUUUCGUGGGGGAUAACGUAGGGAAACUUACGCUAAUACCGCAUACGACCUACGGGUGAAAGCAGGGGAUCUUCGGACCUUGCGCGAUUGAAUGAGCCGAUGUCGGAUUAGCUAGUUGGCGGGGUAAAGGCCCACCAAGGCGACGAUCCGUAGCUGGUCUGAGAGGAUGAUCAGCCACACUGGAACUGAGACACGGUCCAGACUCCUACGGGAGGCAGCAGUGGGGAAUAUUGGACAAUGGGCGCAAGCCUGAUCCAGCCAUACCGCGUGGGUGAAGAAGGCCUUCGGGUUGUAAAGCCCUUUUGUUGGGAAAGAAGAGCAGCAGGUUAAUACCCCGCUGUUCCGACGGUACCCAAAGAAUAAGCACCGGCUAACUUCGU
rnacentral:rRNA from 1 species